rnacentral:rRNA from 1 species
UACGAAGGGGGCUAGCGUUGCUCGGAAUCACUGGGCGUAAAGCGCGCGCAGGCGGUCUUCCAAGUCAGUGGUGAAAGCCCGGAGCUCAACUCCGGAACUGCCAUUGAAACUGUAAGACUUGAGGAUGAGAGAGGUGAGUGGAAUUCCCAGUGUAGAGGUGAAAUACGUAGAUAUCUGGAGGAACACCGGUGGCGAAGGCGGCUAACUGGCCCAACAUUGACGCUGAGACCCGAAAGCAUGGGGAUCAAACAGG